rfam:Flammeovirga sp. SJP92 Scaffold4_14, whole genome shotgun sequence.
UUUUCCGUGAGGAAUGCACUGGAGUAAGCCAAACGGCAAAAAUUGGUACUGAUGAACAAAAACGGAUAGAACAAAUUGUCACUUAAAAGCGUCUCAC